rnacentral:lncRNA from 1 species
UCGGCCUAAGGCCAGCUUUUGCUGUAGGCUUGCGAGGCUUGUAGGCCUGGCCCGAGUGUCUGUCGACGCCACUGGAAUUUUGGAAUUUGGCCGCCGUCGCGUCGUCGUCGCGGUGUUCCGGUCUUCGCUUUGCCAAGUGAGUUUUGCUCACUAAUGCCUUCUUAGUGCGCUAAUUAUACUUAAAGGUUGAUUAGUGUUAAUUAAGGUGUAAUUAGGUUGUUAGAUUAAAUUUGAUUAGUGAUUAUUAGUUAAUUGCUUUGCAUAUUAGUUGUGUGAUUAGUGUAAUUAGAUAGAGAAUUGCUUGUAGUAUUUAUUGAAUGCUUCUUGGGAUUUUUCCCAUCCCUUAUCGGGUGUUAAUUAAACAAAUCGGGCUUAUGUGGUAUUUUUAGGAAUUAAAUAUUAAUUUUCGAAAUUAAUUAUUUAAUUAUUUAUUUCUCAGAAAUUCAACUGGGAUGGCCAGUGACCGAGAUUUUAUGCUGAUGAUCAUGGAGCAGUCCGUUUAUUUAAUUGAACUUUAUAUUGUGCUAAAUUGAAUUUAUUGUAUUUAUUUAUUUAAUUUUCGAAAUUAAUUAUUUAAUUAUUUAUUUCCCGGAAAUUCAACUAGGAUGGCUAGUGACCGGGAUUUUAUGCUGAUGAUCAUGGCGUAGUCCGUUUAUUUAAUUGAGCUUUAUAUUGUGCUAAAUUGAAUUUAUUGUAUUUAUUUAUUUAAUUUUCGAAUUAAUUAUUUAAUUAUUUAUUUUCCGGAAAUUCAACUGGGAUGGCCAGUGACCGGAAUUUUGUGCUGAUUGUCGUGGAGCAGUCCGUUUAUUUAUUUGAGCUUUAAUUCGUGUCGAAUUGAUUUAAUGGUGCAUUUUUAAGUAUGUUAUUAAAUAAUGCAAUUUUGGCCUUGUGAUUGAGAAUUGGUCGGGCAUCGGUUAUCAGUAUUGAAAGUGAGUUGGUAAAUCACUUGGAGAAUGCACGUGGCCCAGUGAAUUGGAAUGUCACUUGGGAAAGACACGUGGCUCGGUGAUUUGAUAUGUCAUCUUGGCGAAAAGGUAGCCUUAGAGAAUGCACGUGGCUCGGAGACUCGGUAUGUCUUCCUGGAGAAUGCAUGUGGCUGGGUGACUUAGUAUGGCAUCUUGAGAGGGUCGGGUGGGACCGUAAAGCCACUAGUUCUUGAGAGGGUCGGGUGGGACCGUAAAGCCACUAGUUCUUGAGAGGGUCGGGUGGGACCAUAAAGCCACUAGUUCUCGAGAGGGUCGGGUGGGAUCGUAAAGCCACUAGUUCUUGAGAGGGUCGGGUGGGACCGUAAAGCCACUAGUUCUUGAGAGGGUCGGGUGGGACCGUAAAGCCACUAAAUCCAAGGAAUUGCUUGGUGUUGGAUGAAUGACCUAGAAAUGAUUCGACUAGGUCAAUUGAUCGAUGAUUCGAUCUGAGUGUGUCUUGAUGUAAUUCAUUGCCUUGGUUUGAUGUGUUGAAUUGAAUGAUUGAAGGGAGAUGAUCGUGAGUGGUCUUCCUGAUGUGAAAUCGACUAAGUCGAUUAGAUCGAUGCUUCGAUCUGUGAUGUGCUUGCUUGUGUGCCUAUUUAAUCUGUACUAAUACGUUGGCGGAAUCUGAGGCUAAGGUAAGUCUUCUAACUCAUGUUGUGCAUAGGCAGCCCUAAGGUGUAUUAGUUUACUAAUCGGGUCUUAGGAAGUAGAACUUGCUGAGACGUGGUCUCAGUGGUUAUUGAAUAACCAUUUCAGGACCUGGAUGAGGAGCCUAAGGAGCAUGAAUCUUCUGAGGAGGUCCCUGAUGAGGAACCCGAAGAGGAGUACGUGGAGGAGGACUCCGAGUACGACCCGGAUGAGUACUGAGAUCCCGUCCAGUCUUGUCAGACCUUGUUU